UGUAAGAUCCCUGAAAGAUGAUCAGGUUGAUAGGUCUGAGGUGGAAGUGUGGCGACACAUGGAGCUGACAGAUACUAAUCGAUCGAGGACUUAACCAA
rnacentral:rRNA from 1 species